CAGACUUGAAAAGGUCGUGCACGCGGGAGCGUGUCCUCUCACAUAACACAAUCCAUCGUCACCCCUUUGUGCACCACCGCGUGGGCCCCCUUCGGGGGGCUCGCGUUUUCACACAAAACCCCCCUUUUAAAAGUGUAGAAUGACCUCUUUUUAUGAAAUCAAUACAACUUUCAACAACGGAUCUCUUGGCUCUCGCAUCGAUGAAGAACGCAGCGAAAUGCGAUACGUAAUGUGAAUUGCAGAAUUCAGUGAAUCAUCGAAUCUUUGAACGCACCUUGCGCCCCUUGGUAUUCCGAUGGGCACACCCGUUUGAGUGUCGUGAAAACCUCAACCUCCCUGGUUUCUUCUGGAGACCAAAGGAGGCUUGGACUUUGGAGGCCUUUGCUGGCGUCUCUGCCAGCUCCUCUCAAAUGAAUUAGUGGGGUCCUCUUUGCUGAUCCUUGACAUGUGAUAAGAUGCUUCCGUGUCUCGGUUUCUGGCUCUGUUGCUUUUGGGACCCGCUUCUAACCGUCUAGACCUCGCGUCGAG
rnacentral:misc_RNA from 1 species